rnacentral:rRNA from 1 species
AGAUACCCCACUAUGCCUAGCCGUAAACUUUAAAUUACACCAACAUCGCCCGGGAACUACGAGCCAAGCUUAAAACCCAAAGGACUUGACGGUACCCCAUAUCCCCCUAGAGGAGCCUGUCCUAUAAUCGAUAACCCCCGCUUAACCUCACCAUUUUUAGCUAAUCAGCCUGUAUACCUCCGUCGUCAGCUUACCCCGUGAGCGUAUUUUAGUGAGCUCAAAGUCUUUACAUCAACACGUCAGGUCAAGGUGCAGCAAAUAAAAUGGAAAGAGAUGGGCUACACUUUCUAUGUUAGAAUAUACGAAAGACUAUUUAUGAAACCUAGUCGGAAGGCGGAUUUAGUAGUAAAAAGAGACCAUAAAGCUCUUUUUAACUUGGCACUGGGGUGUGUACACACCG